AAGAAAAUGCCUGAUUUAAAAGGAUUAUUUUGAUAGAAUAAAUUAUGUAUUAUUUACUUUUCUUA
rnacentral:tRNA from 1 species